UCCAAUCCGCAGUGGAUCUUGUUUCAGCAGUGAAUAGUUGACCAAUCAGAGCAAAAAAGAAUUCUAUAUCGUGCGCAGAUGGAAUAGUACCCAUUACUGUAUGUAUAUCCCUCUGGUGGCAAAAAAUGAUCAUACCGGUGCGACGUUUUACUUGUGGAAAAGUGAUUGGCAACAAAUGAGAAGCUUAUCUUAGUCUGCUACAGGCAGAAUACAUAGAGGGAUAUGCACUUGAUGCACUAGGAUUGAAGAGAUACUACUGUAGAAACUUUUGAAUUAUGCACCAUUGGAAAAAAUAGAUGACAUUCUCAAUAUUCAUCCCCAUACUUCAUCUUGUACAUUAAUGCACAUGUUGUAAUAUAACUGUAUAAAUUAGUUACGCGAUAAUUGUGAUGGAUGAUAAAAAUAAAGCACCUUGAUCCAUAUAUGUUUCAUAAAUGGCUUUAGAAUAUAGACACCAUAUGUUACUACUUUGUAAGCUACCAUGGCAUUCUUUCGAUUGUAUAUGUAAUAAGUACGAAAAAUAAAUACACAAAUUGUAGUGUAAAAUGUA